GCAAGUCGAGCGCUUCACUUCGGUGAGGAGCGGCGGACGGGUGAGUAACGCGUGGGAACGUACCCUUUACUUCGGAAUAGCCACUGGAAACGGUGAGUAAUACCAAUGCGCCCUUAGGGGGAAAGAUUUAUCGGUAAAGGAUCGGCCCGCGUUAGAUUAGGUAGUUGGUGGGGUAAUGGCCUACCAAGUCUACGAUCUAUAGCUGGUUUUAGAGGAUGAUC
rnacentral:rRNA from 1 species